GAUGAACGCUAGCGGCAGGCCUAACACAUGCAAGUCGAGGGGUAGGGUAGCAAUACCUGAGACCGGCGCACGGGUGCGUAACGCGUAUGCAACCUACCUUUUACAGGGGAAUAGCCCAGAGAAAUUUGGAUUAAUGCCCCAUGGUAUAUCGAGAUGGCAUCAUCAUGAUAUUAAAGUUCCAACGGUAAAAGAUGGGCAUG
rnacentral:rRNA from 1 species